rnacentral:tRNA from 1 species
ACUCGUGUAGCUCAGUCGGUAGAGCAUUAGACUAAAUCUGAGGGUCAUGGGUUCAAGUCCCUAAUCGAGCG